ACUCCUACGGGAGGCAGCAGUGGGGAAUAUUGCACAAUGGGCGCAAGCCUGAUGCAGCAACGCCGCGUGAGGGACGACGGCCUUCGGGUUGUAAACCUCUUUUAGUAGGGAAGAAGCGAAAGUGACGGUACCUGCAGAAAAAGCACCGGCUAACUACGUGCCAGCAGCCGCGGUAAUACGUAGGGUGCAAGCGUUAUCCGGAAUUAUUGGGCGUAAAGAGCUCGUAGGCGGUCUGUCGCGUCUGCUGUGAAAACUGGGGGCUCAACCCCCAGCCUGCAGUGGGUACGGGCAGACUAGAGUGCGGUAGGGGAGAUUGGAAUUCCUGGUGUAGCGGUGGAAUGCGCAGAUAUCAGGAGGAACACCGAUGGCGAAGGCAGAUCUCUGGGCCGUAACUGACGCUGAGGAGCGAAAGCAUGGGGAGCGAACAGGAUUAGAUACCCUGGUAGUCCAUGCCGUAAACGUUGGGAACUAGAUGUAGGGACCAUUCCACGGUUUCUGUGUCGCAGCUAACGCAUUAAGUUCCCCGCCUGGGGAGUACGGCCGCAAGGCUAAAACUCAAAGGAAUUGACGGGGGCCCGCACAAGCGGCGGAGCAUGCGGAUUAAUUCGAUGCAACGCGAAGAACCUUACCAAGGCUUGACAUAUACCGGAAAAGGCUGGAAACAGUCUCCCCGCAAGGUCGGUAUACAGGUGGUGCAUGGUUGUCGUCAGCUCGUGUCGUGAGAUGUUGGGUUAAGUCCCGCAACGAGCGCAACCCUCGUUCUAUGUUGCCAGCACGUAAUGGUGGGAACUCAUAGGAGACUGCCGGGGUCAACUCGGA
rnacentral:rRNA from 1 species